rnacentral:rRNA from 1 species
UAGCUAGUUGGUGAGGUAAAGGCUUACCAAGGCGACGAUCUGUAGCGGGUCUGAGAGGAUGAUCCGCCACACUGGAACUGAGACACGGUCCAGACUCCUACGGGAGGCAGCAGUGGGGAAUUUUGGACAAUGGGGGCAACCCUGAUCCAGCCAUGCCGCGUGAGUGAAGAAGGCCUUCGGGUUGUAAAGCUCUUCCGGCCGGGAAGAAAUCGCAUGGGCCAAUACCCUGUGUGGAUGACGGUACCGGAAUAAGAAGCACCGGCUAACUACGUGCCAGCAGCCGCGGUAAUACGUAGGGUGCGAGCGUUAAUCGGAAUUACUGGGCGUAAAGCGUGCGCAGGCGGUUUUGUAAGACAGGCGUGAAAUCCCCGGACUUAACCUGGGAACUGCGUUUGUGACUGCAAGGCUAGAGUACGGCAGAGGGGGGUGGAAUUCCACGUGUAGCAGUGAAAUGCGUAGAGAUGUGGAGGAACACCAAUGGCGAAGGCAGCCCCCUGGGUCGAUACUGACGCUCAUGCACGAAAGCGUGGGUAGCAAACAGGAUUAGAUACCCUGGUAGUCCACGCCCUAAACUAUGUCAACUAGGUGUUGGGUGGGUAAAACCAUUUAGUACCGUAGCUAACGCGUGAAGUUGACCGCCUGGGGAGUACGGCCGCAAGGUUAAAACUCAAAGGAAUUGACGGGGACCCGCACAAGCGGUGGAUGAUGUGGAUUAAUUCGAUGCAACGCGAAAAACCUUACCUACCCUUGACAUGCCAGGAACUUGCCAGAGAUGGCUUGGUGCCCGAAAGGGAGCCUGGACACAGGUGCUGCAUGGCUGUCGUCAGCUCGUGUCGUGAGAUGUUGUGUUAAGUCCCGCAACGAGCGCAACCCUUGUCGUUAAUUGCCAUCAUUUAGUUGGGCACUUUAACGAGACUGCCGGUGACAAACCGGAGGAAGGUGGGGAUGACGUCAAGUCCUCAUGGCCCUUAUGGGUAGGGCUUCACACGUCAUACAAUGGUCGGUACAAAGGGUUGCCAAGCCGCGAGGCGGAGCCAAUCCCAGAAAGCCGAUCGUAGUCCGGAUUGCAGGCUGCAACUCGCCUGCAUGAAGUCGGAAUCGCUAGUAAUCGUGGAUCAGCAUGUCACGGUGAAUACGUUCCCGGGUCUUGUACACACCGCCCGUCACACCAUGGGAGCGGGUUCCGCCAGAAGUAGGUAGCCUAACCGCAAGGGGGGCGCUUACCACGGCGGGGUUCGUGACUGGGGUGAAGUCGUAACAAGGUAGCCGUAGGGGAACCUGCGGCUG